rnacentral:rRNA from 1 species
AGUGAACGCUGGCGGUAGGCCUAACACAUGCAAGUCGAACGGCAGCACAGUAAGAGCUUGCUCUUACGGGUGGCGAGUGGCGGACGGGUGAGGAAUACAUCGGAAUCUACUUUUUCGUGGGGGAUAACGUAGGGAAACUUACGCUAAUACCGCAUACGACCUACGGGUGAAAGUAGGGGAUCUUCGGACCUUGCGCGAUUGAAUGAGCCGAUGUCGGAUUAGCUAGUUGGCGGGGUAAAGGCCCACCAAGGCGACGAUCCGUAGCUGGUCUGAGAGGAUGAUCAGCCACACUGGAACUGAGACACGGUCCAGACUCCUACGGGAGGCAGCAGUGGGGAAUAUUGGACAAUGGGCGCAAGCCUGAUCCAGCCAUACCGCGUGGGUGAAGAAGGCCUUCGGGUUGUAAAGCCCUUUUGUUGGGAAAGAAAAGCAGCAGGUUAAUACCCCGCUGUUCUGACGGUACCCAAAGAAUAAGCACCGGCUAACUUCG